rnacentral:rRNA from 1 species
GACGAACGCUGGCGGCGUGCUUAACACAUGCCAGUCGAACGGAAAGGCCCCUUUGGGGGUACUCGAGUGGCGAACGGGUGAGUAACACGUGAGUAACCUGCCCUUGACUUCGGGAUAACUUCAGGAAACUGGGGCUAAUACCGGAUAGGAAUCCUUGCUGCAUGGUGGGGGUUGGAAAGCUUCGGCGGUUUUGGAUGGACUCGCGGCUUAUCAGCUUGUUGGUGGGGUAGUGGCUUACCAAGGCUUUGACGGGUAGCCGGCCUGAGAGGGCGACCGGCCACAUUGGGACUGAGAUACGGCCCAGACUCCUACGGGAGGCAGCAGUGAGGAAUAUUGCACAAUGGGCGGAAGCCUGAUGCAGCAACGCCGCGUGCGGGAUGACGGCCUUCGGGUUGUAAACCGCUUUCAGCAGGGGCGAAGCUUGUGGUGACGGUACCUGCAGAAGAAGCACCGGCUAACUACGUG